AUCGCAACAAGCAGCGAAAAACUUCAGAGCGCGAUAAACAAACCCAAGCAAACGAAGCCGUUUCAGGCGGUUGCUCUCUCCUCGAUUGCUCCGGUGUCGUCGUCAAGCGCUCGGUCCAUCCCUCGCGACUUCGAUCGACCGCUAUUCGUCCGCGCCGGCGACCGGAAUGAGCAGUCAACCCGAAGUGAGCUUGCUCGCCGCCGCGGCGGAGGCCGCGGAGGACCUCUACCGCGUCCGGGACACCUACUUCCCCUCGAAUCCAGAGGACAGGUUCUCGAGGCUGCGCGACGAAUCGAGCUC
rnacentral:lncRNA from 1 species